rnacentral:misc_RNA from 1 species
GAAAUGCGAUAAGUAAUGUGAAUUGCAGAAUUCCGUGAAUCAUUAAAUCUUUGAACGCACAUUGCGCUCCGUGGUAUUCCGCAGAGCAUGUUUGUUUGAGAAUCAGUUUAAUCUAUCAAUUAUUAUUUUUUUUUAUUAAAGUUUAAUCGUUGGAGCAUGGGUUACUUUUCUUUUUUUUAAAAAAAGGACCUUAAUGAUAUUCUAUUUUGUCUCGAACCUCGAGUUAAACUCUUGGGUUGGGAAAAAAGCAUGACCAAAAAUGACCUUCGGGUUAAUUUUAUAGUGCCUAUUAACCUUAACCAGUAAGUAGUUUGAUUAGAAUCGAUUGCGCAACAAUAGUAAAACGUAAAGCACGAAGUUUUUCUAACCAAAAACUUUAAGACUUGAUCUCAAAUCAAAU